UACAGAGGGUGCGAGCGUUGUCCGGAAUCACUGGGCGUAAAGGGCGCGUAGGCGGUCUGGUAAGCGUGUGGUGAAAGCUCGGGGCUCAACCCCGAGUCGGCCGUGCGAACUGCGAGACUGGAGCAGAUCAGAGGCAGGCGGAAUUCCGGGUGUAGCGGUGGAAUGCGUAGAGAUCCGGAAGAACACCGGUGGCGAAGGCGGCCUGCUGGGAUACACCUGACGCUGAGGCACGAAGGCGUGGGGAGCGAACGGG
rnacentral:rRNA from 1 species